AGUGAACGCUGGCGGUAGGCCUAACACAUGCAAGUCGAACGGCAGCACAGUAAGAGCUUGCUCUUACGGGUGGCGAGUGGCGGACGGGUGAGGAAUACAUCGGAAUCUACUUUUUCGUGGGGGAUAACGUAGGGAAACUUACGCUAAUACCGCAUACGACCUACGGGUGAAAGCAGGGGAUCUUCGGACCUUGCGCGAUUGAAUGAGCCGAUGUCGGAUUAGCUAGUUGGCGGGGUAAAGGCCCACCAAGGCGGCGAUCCGUAGCUGGUCUGAGAGGAUGAUCAGCCACACUGGAACUGAGACACGGUCCAGACUCCUACGGGAGGCAGCAGUGGGGAAUAUUGGACAAUGGGCGCAAGCCUGAUCCAGCCAUACCGCGUGGGUGAAGAAGGCCUUCGGGUAGUAAAGCCCUUUUGUUGGGAAAGAAAAGCAGCAGGUUAAUACCCCGCUGUUCUGACGGUACCCAAAGAAUAAGCACCGGCUAACUUCGUG
rnacentral:rRNA from 1 species